rnacentral:rRNA from 1 species
UUUGACAACUCUAGAGAUAGAGUCUUCCCCUUCGGGGGACAAAGUGACAGGUGGUGCAUGGUUGUCGUCAGCUCGUGUCGUGAGAUGUUGGGUUAAGUCCCGCAACGAGCGCAACCCUUAAGCUUAGUUGCCAGCAUUAAGUUGGGCACUCUAAGUUGACUGCCGGUGACAAACCGGAGGAAGGUGGGGAUGACGUCAAAUCAUCAUGCCCCUUAUGAUUUGGGCUACACACGUGCUACAAUGGACAAUACAAAGGGCAGCUAAACCGCGAGGUCAUGCAAAUCCCAUAAAGUUGUUCUCAGUUCGGAUUGUAGUCUGCAACUCGACUACAUGAAGCUGGAAUCGCUAGUAAUCGUAGAUCAGCAUGCUACGGUGAAUACGUUCCCGGGUCUUGUACACACCGCCCGUCACACCACGAGAGGCUGUAACACCCGAAGCCGGUGGAGUAACCAUUUAUGGAGCUAGCCGUCGAAGGUGGGACAAAUGAUUGGGGUGAAGUCGUAACAAGGUAGCCGUAUCGGAA